UACGUACGAGGCGAGCGUUAUCCGGAAUUACUGGGCGUAAAGCGUGCGCAGGCGGUUCGUUGUGUCGGCGGUGAAAGCCCCGGGCUUAACCUGGGAAUGGCCGUCGAAACUGGCGAACUGGAGUGUGGCAGAGGGGGGUGGAAUUCCGCGUGUAGCAGUGAAAUGCGUAGAGAUGCGGAGGAACACCGAUGGCGAAGGCAGCCCCCUGGGCUGACACUGACGCUCAGGCACGAAAGCGUGGGGAGCAAACAGG
rnacentral:rRNA from 1 species